ACGUACACUCCUGCGGGAGGCAGCAGUGGGGAAUUUUGGACAAUGGGCGAAAGCCUGAUCCAGCCAUGCCGCGUGCAGGAUGAAGGCCUUCGGGUUGUAAACUGCUUUUGUACGGAACGAAACGGCCUUUUCUAAUAAAGAGGGCUAAUGACGGUACCGUAAGAAUAAGCACCGGCUAACUACGUGCCAGCAGCCGCGGUAAUACGUAGGGUGCAAGCGUUAAUCGGAAUUACUGGGCGUAAAGCGUGCGCAGGCGGUUAUGUAAGACAGUUGUGAAAUCCCCGGGCUCAACCUGGGAACUGCAUCUGUGACUGCAUAGCUAGAGUACGGUAGAGGGGGAUGGAAUUCCGCGUGUAGCAGUGAAAUGCGUAGAUAUGCGGAGGAACACCGAUGGCGAAGGCAAUCCCCUGGACCUGUACUGACGCUCAUGCACGAAAGCGUGGGGAGCAAACAGGAUUAGAUACCCUUGUAGUCCCAUGA
rnacentral:rRNA from 1 species